UACAGUGAUAAGAAAAAAAAAUCUGAGAGAAAAGGAAGGUGGUUUAGCCGGAGGAAGAAGAAGAGAUGUUUAUGAUAGUUUAUUUUUGAUUUUAGGUUCAAGGGUAUAUAGGUAAUUGAACUAUCCAAUAGACAUCCCUUAUAAGAUCACCUAGGAUGGAAAAACUAUUUUGUAUGCCUUGAAAGUCUUUGGUAUGCCUAAAAUGAUAGUUCAUCUGUUUUUCUUGUUAAAUGAAAGAUACUUCUGGUGUACUGAAGCCCAAAGACCGUAAGUUUGAAUCUUGAAAAAAAAUUAAGAAAACAGUCGAGGGAGUUAUCAAUGAUCAUCUAAAAUCAGAUUUGGUGUACUUCUUGUUAAGAGUUUUGAUAGACACACGUCCCAAAAAAAAAAAAUCCAGAAAGCAACCACCACCAUUACUGUGAGUAGACCAUUACAGUAGGUGCGACCAAGUAGUUCUUUUUUUUUUUUUGAUGAAAGACUCUAGAUCAGUAAUCUUCUUUCAUUCUUUGUCCUCUAUCUUCUUCUAACCUUGUGUUCUAAUUUGAAAUGAAUCACCAGUAGAUUAUCAUAACCAAAGAUACUUUUCAAAAGAAAAUCAUAACCAAAAAUUGAAAACCCUGUUAUUUGAAAUGGAAGAAAGAUGGAUCUAGGCCUAUAACUAAACCUUAGUUCUAUACUUCUAUGUGUUCGUCUUUAUCAUUUGCUCUGUAAAAUUAAGAAGGAAUCAUAAUACAAUUUUUUUUUAUCAUUCACUUUCAUGUACAUUCAGAGAUCUGUUUUGGUUCGACAGAGAAAAACCCUGAAUACUUCCAUCAAAAAAUUUACUUUUUGUUGAAUAGUUAUCAUAUAAUCAUGACCCUAUAUUGAAAAUCAGUUUCAUAUGCAAUAUAAAUCCUAUAUUUUCUUAUUUAUUAAUGUAUAAACCUUAAAGUAAAUCCUUAGUUCAAGUUUUGUACCGAAGAACAAUAAAUUUGAUGGAUAUUAAUGAUGAAAACCUGACUGUGAUUUGUGCAAUUGAUUUACUAAGGGAUAAUUAACAAGCAGUAAUGAUAGUGAAUAAAAGCACCGAUCGAAAUAAAUAAAUAAAUAAUACUGUGUUAAGAAUAAGUGUAGAGGCAGAGGCAUGGAUAUUGGUGGUUCACGGUGGUGGAGAUCGUCCCUGUAUCUGUAACAGGAAAAAAGAAAAAGGAUACUUAACUCCAUCAUUGGGAAUAAGAAAGAGGCUAGAAAAUGAUCUAGGCUUGUCCGAUGCCCAAGUGCGUUAUUGGUUCGACGAUCGAGCGAAGAAAGAUAAAGAUAGCACAGCAAACCCUUUUUCUGGGUCAGUGAAGGUUUUACCGUCUGUGUCCCGUUGGUAUGGUAGUGUCUGUACAACUUCACGACCAGAGGAAGCUGCCCCGAAUCUCGAAGUUUCCAAGAAACAAGCCGGAAAACAGCUAGGAGAACUAAUUCAGAAGGCGUGAACGGUUGCAAUACACGAAUUCCAUGAGAGAGCAAAAAAAGUGUUUGGAAGCAGGGAUGCGAUUGAAAUUGAGUUGUAUCACAGUGUAUUUGGUCAAACUGUAGAUGUGCCUAUACAAAUGACACUAAAAGAUAUUGGGUACGUUUGCAAGUCUCAUGAGUGGCUUUCGAACAACAACAUAGUUUUAUACAUCCGAUUGUUAUAUGAAAAAUUGUAUAAUGAUGCACGCAAAAAUAAAUUUGGGUUUAUAAAUCCAGCAGCCAUUCAUUAUAAAGUCAAUAAUGAGGUGUUCGACUGCAAGAUUCAGUUCAGAGUCGAAAAUACGUAUUUAUUCCUUGUAAUACAGGAGUUCAUUGGGUACUAAUCGUAUUUUUCGAUGGGGUGUUUUAUUAUUUGAAUUCGUUGGAUGAAAGGCGUUACAAACUAUAUGAGCGAAUGAGCAUUGUUUCACAAUCUCUAGAUCGAGGAUUAGGUUUUAAGAUGUCUGAAAAGAAAGUAUUUUGGGUAGAUGUGAAGCACACUCCUAAACAAAAAGGAAACUGGGAGUGUGGAUUCUAUAUUAUGUUGUAUAUGAAGCACGUAAUAAAAAGUUAUGACACUGCAAUGCAGAACCCUCAAGAGAUGUUUAAGUUGGGAAUGAAGUAUGGUACGUCGGAGAUUGAUGAAGUUAGAAAAGAAUGGAUCGAUUCUGUUUCUCCAUUUCUUCAAAAGUAUUGAAGUUACCACAUCUUCAAUGAAGACAAAGUAGUGAUUGGUAAUGCAGUCAGUGCUCCUAAUUAAAUUUGAAUAAUAAUGUUAAAUAAUCUAAAGAAAGAACAUAUAUAUGGUAUGUUAUCUAUGUGUUUACUUGCAAAUUCAUAGAUACCAUACCAUAUAUAUGUUCUUUCCUUAAAUUAUCUAACAUUACUAUUCAAAUUUAAUUAGGAGCACCGACUGCAUUAUUAAUCACUAUUUUGUCUGCAUUGAAGUUUUCUUAACUUGUAUAAUAAUUCUUCCGUCCCCAUUGUAUAUGCGGAGAAGUGAGUUUCUCUUACAAUAAGAUACUUUUUUUUUUUGAUUUCUUACAUUUCUAUCCUUUUUCCCGUUUUAUCCUUUGUACAAUUUCCAACAUUAGAAACAUUAACUUAAUUGUGGUGAUAACUACCUAUAAUGAAUAAGAGCAGUACAUGGAAAAACCCAUCUUGAAAUUGAAAAUCCGCCUAUCUAAUGGGACUACAAAUUUUUACAACUCCGCCUUUAUGAUAGGGACAGAGGGAGUAGUAUACAAGUUUUGGAUCAUUAUAAAAUUACUUUUGUGUCUUGGAUAUUGUAAUUUUUCUUGAUACUUUAAAUGUUGUUGGAAUUGUCAUUUUCCGUUUUCUAGGUCCCUUAUUUGCUGU